rnacentral:snRNA from 1 species
AUCGCUUCUCAGCCUUUUGGCUAAGAUCAAGUGUAGCAUCAAUUCACUUAUUCAACUGUUUUGAGUUUUUCCUUAU